ACGCUAGCUACAGGCUUACACAUGCAAGUCGAGGGGAAACGGCAUUAAGUGCUUGCACUUUUUGGACGUCGACCGGCGCACGGGUGAGUAACGCGUAUCCAACCUUCCCAUGACUAAGGGAUAACCUGCCGAAAGGCAGACUAAUACCUUAUGGUCUUCACUGACGGCAUCAGAUGUGAAGUAAAGAUUUAUCGGUUAUGGAUGGGGAUGCGUCUGAUUAGUUAGUUGGCGGGGUAACGGCCCACCAAGGCAACGAUCAGUAGGGGUUCUGAGAGGAAGGUCCCCCACAUUGGAACUGAGACACGGUCCAAACUCCUACGGGAGGCAGCAGUGAGGAAUAUUGGUCAAUGGGCGAGAGCCUGAACCAGCCAAGUAGCGUGCAGGACGACGGCCCUAUGGGUUGUAAACUGCUUUUGUAUGGGGAUAAAGUCAAUCACGUGUGAUUGUUUGCAGGUACCAUACGAAUAAGGACCGGCUAAUUCUGUGCCAGCAGCCGCGGUAAUACGGAAGGUCCGGGCGUUAUCCGGAUUUAUUGGGUUUAAAGGGAGCGUAGGCUGGAGAUUAAGUGUGUUGUGAAAUGUAGACGCUCAACGUCUGACUUGCAGCGCAUACUGGUUUCCUUGAGUACGCACAACGUUGGCGGAAUUCGUCGUGUAGCGGUGAAAUGCUUAGAUAUGACGAAGAACUCCGAUUGCGAAGGCAGCUGACGGGAGCGCAACUGACGCUGAAGCUCGAAGGUGCGGGUAUCGAACAGGAUUAGAUACCCUGGUAGUCCGCACAGUAAACGAUGGAUGCCCGCUGUUGGUACCUGGUAUCAGCGGCUAAGCGAAAGCAUUAAGCAUCCCACCUGGGGAGUACGCCGGCAACGGUGAAACUCAAAGGAAUUGACGGGGGCCCGCAC
rnacentral:rRNA from 1 species